rnacentral:lncRNA from 1 species
UUUUUCUUUGUGUUCCUCUGAGAGUCGACUCUCACUUUCUUUGGAGUCGACUUGCCAACCAUCGGAGUCGACUCGCGUUCCACUGGAGUCGACUCGAAUCUCAGACCCGAAAACUGCUCUCUGACUUUUCUGCCUGUGACUCCUUGGAGUCGACUCAUACUACCCUGGAGUCGACUCGGUGAACAUCGGAGUCGACUCGCGCACUUC